CGCCUGUUUAACAAAAACAUCGUCUUUUGAGUUCUUUUAUAAAAGAUAAUGCCUGCCCAGUGAAAAUUUUAAACGGCCGCGUUAGCGUGAGCGUGCUAAGGUAGCGUAAUAAUUAGCCUUUUAAUUGGAGGCCAGUGAAUGGCAAGACUAGGAAUAUCUGUACUUUAUGUAUAAAAAAAACUUUUCUUCUAAGUGAAAAGACUUAGAUAAUAAAGGAAGACGAAAAGACCCCGCGGAACUUCACCUUUUCUUUAUACCUCUGCGUACCAAGCUUAAAAGUAUACAAGGUUUGAUUGGGGCAAUCUUGGAACCAAUAAAGCUUCCAAACUUUCAUAUAAAGAUAUAGAAAAUUUAUUAAGGACCAAAAAGUAGUUACCCCGGGGAUAACAGCGUAAUCCAACUUAAGAGUACACAUCGAAAGUUGGGUUUGCGACCUCGAUGUUGGCUUAAGGACAUCCACAUAAGUGCAACCGCUAUGAUAGGAUAGUCUGUUCGACUAUUGUACCCUUACAUGAUCUGAGUUUCAGACCGG
rnacentral:rRNA from 2 species